GUCCUGUCCUGGGAACAGUGUCCUCAAGGCCACCCAGAGCCUGGUGUGUGUCUCCUGGUCCGCGGGGAGGGGUGAACAUCUCUAAGUUCCCCAUCCUGGGCUGGGAGCCUAAGUGUCAGGGCGAUGCCCAAUAUGGCCAGCAGAGGGAGCCAUUGGCCGUGAAAUACUGUGCAGCUGGCAGGGCAGCGCUCCUGGGGUUCUCCUGAGUCAACCCAGCCGGCAACGCUGUGGCCUGGAUGACCUCUGGCACCUCGCACUCUGACCCAUCCCAUGGACCCACCAGUCCUCGUAACAGGACAUACACACCCCACCCCCAGCACAGUCCCGUGGUCCCUACCCCUCCACCUCUCCCACUGCUGCCCCAUCCCCCACUUGGGCCACACAAGCCCCCAGAGCACCUCAGAUGCACCAGCCUGGGCUUGCCCUUGGCCUGGGCACCCAUGCCCUCCUCCCAGGGCCCUGAGCCUUGGCACUGGCACCCCUUACUUGACAGAUGACAUUUGUACCACCUGGCACACAGUAGGUGUUUCAAAAAUGUAGGCUUUGGAGACAGCAGCCCAAGACCUCCUCCAACUCAGCCCAUCGUCGGGGCUGAUGGCCUGAGGAACCACCUUGAACUUCUCUGUGCUUAGUUUCCCAAGUGGCAGUGGAUACACAGGGCCUGCUGGUGGGGGAGAACCACGGGAGGGACCACUGUCCACCUUUGACUUUGAACCUGCUCUUCACACACCAUCUUUCCCCUGUGGCCAGAACAGGAUGGACCUGCCUGGGGUCCAACCCAGGGAACCAGCCAGAACACGUGGGACUGGAACCGAACUCCCUGACAUUGCACGACCCUGGGGUGUGGCGGGUGGGCCAGCAGGGGGCCCUCUUCGCAUGUGGGGGUCCCAGUCUAACUCUCCCUGUGAUAGGACAUGGUCCCCAAGGCGGGGCUCUGGGCCAACCUGGCCCUGACCCUGGACAGCAGUAGAUCCCACGGCCUCCGGCCUUUAGUCCAGAGGCGAGUGGCGCUCAUGGGAUGAAGACUUCUGGGACGACUCAGGCCCUGCGCUUUACCACGUGGCUGGACAGGAGGCCCACCCCCCCUGCACCCUGAGCCUCAGUUUCUCCAUUCGGGGAGUGAAGUUACACCGGCCUCUGCAUGGAGCUGCUGUGGGCAUGGCCUGAGUGGAGGCCAGGAAAUGGCUGGCCUGGUACCCGGUGCUGGGAGUGACAAGCGCCCCCCUUGGCCCCUUCCCACCCCCACACAGCACCCCUCCCCGACCCAGCCUUGCAGGGUCUCUUGGGGUGAAUCCCCCAUUGCAGGAGCUGAGGUGAGCAAGGUCUGUGCAGGCAGGUGGGUACAGCCACGUGUCAAGACGCAGAGGCGGGUGCAUUGAUUUAUUAAAUUUAUGUUUCCAAAUUGCAUUAGCGUCGGGAAAAUUGAGUCUCAGGACAUGCCGGGACUGCCCAGCACCCUUCUCCCCAGCAGCAUUCAGGCAGUGGCUCAGAGGCUGCGGUAGGGUCAACAAAGCCCUGAGGCCCCAACACUCCCCUCCUCCCAGGGCAGCUCUGGAGGGCACCCCCCAGCAUGCUCCUCCCUUGGGGUCGGCCCCUUUAACAAACGCUUCCCAGGCCUGGGCCUGAUCAUUCUGGAAAAACUGAGAUAGGAGGAGGCAGAUGAGGAGGGAGAGGAUGGCGGGGUAAUGACACCCCUUCCUGAGAGCUCGCCGGCAGGCCUGCACCAGCAUCCUCGGGGGCCCGGCAGCUACUCUCCCUCUGUGCAGAGGGGACACUGAGCCGUGGCCCCAGCAGCACAGCUGGGAGGCAGCAGGCCGACUUGGCACACAGGCCGCCAGCAUUUGCCCCAGGACCCAGCAGGGGGAGCAGCUCAGAGAGGACAGGGCUCGGCAUCUUGGCGGAAGCCCCUCGCAGGGCGGGGGCAUGCCCAGGGUCCCCGAUUUGUGCCCUCUGCGCCCCGUGGCUGGACCUUCUGACCCCAGUGCCCCCUUCUAUGGACUCAGAGUUGGAUGGGUCAGCUGAGUCCCUAGCAGCUGGGGGUGGGUCUUCAGUCAGCUGGGGGCCAUGGAGGGCACUCUGCCUCAACUGAGCCCCCGGGGUUGGGACCCGAACACGGGGAGGGCGGGGCCAAGUUCACCUGGGCCACAGAUGGGCCUUACGGCAGGGGAUGGGGAACAGGGUUACAGCUCCAUCAGGGCGUCCCUGUGACAAGGACGAUUAGGAGGGAGAGGGCCCACCUGGAGGACGGUCCAGAGGCUGGCCUGGCCCGCACCCCGAGCUCCCAGCAGGCAUCCUGCAGCACAGCCCGGAGGUGGCUGCAGAGCACCGACCCCAGCUGUGCAGGAUAACCAGGACGCAGAGCAGCCCAGGAGACACACACCCCUGCCCCAGGCCUGGGGUCCUGUCCCCACACAGGGCCUACAGCAGGGUCACUCUGGAACGGCUCUGACCCAUUCCAUGUCACCGUCCCUGGGGACCCCUGUGGGCACCAGUAGUGGAUGAGCCUGGUGAGAAGGGCUCCUCCUGCUGGGUCCAGCCCAGCUUGCCCCUGGCCCAAGGCCCCUGCUCACUCGCGGUCCAGCCUGGAAUUUGCCAGAUGGGGAGACAGGAGCCUGUCACUUCUGCUCAGCUUCACAGCCUGCAGCUCACCCUGAGAGGCCCAGGUAGCCAUGAUGGGCCCAAGGUCACUCAGAUGCCAGGGGCAGAGAUUCAGCCAUCUGACCUCCUCAGACCACACACCCCCACCACGCCCUCCCCACUCUCCCACCUGAAAUGACAGCUCAAGGAGCCUCUGGCCACCAGCAGACCACCUGCCAGGCACAGGCAGGAGGUGCAUCCUCACCUGUCUCUCCUGGGGCCAGUGGAACAUUUUAAUAACGGGAGGAUUUGCAACGGUUCAGACAGCUCUGAGCCCGGCCUUGGCCACGGUCACAGUGGAUGCCGGGGAAGCCACGGAGCAGGGAGGGGCCCCACAUGUAGGAGGGGAGGAUGAGCAGGCCCACUCCUCCAGGUCCAGCAGCCCAGAGUGUGGACAGGAGGCUGAGGGGGAGGGGGAGGGGGCUCAGGAGGGCUUCCUGGAGGAAGAGUCCCCUUGGCUGAGGCUCGAAGGGCACACAGUCCAGAUGGGGGCAGGCACCCCCAAGGCUGUGGGGGGGGCAUGAGGGUGGUCUGACCCCCAAGGCGGCCGUGGAGCCCCUUCCCUGGGGGCUGUGAGGCCCGGCAGAGGCACUGGUGCUGCAAGAUCGGACAAGUAGACAGGACUUGAGUGUGGGCAGGCAGGCAGGCGGGAGCGAGGCUGCAGCCAGAGGCCUGGCCCCCGGCCGAGGUGGGCUCCAUGCCACAUCCCUCAACCAGGCAGCCGGGUGGACAAGAGAGAGUCUGACAAGCUGAGGACUCACUUGGCUCGGCUCCCCGGCCUGGCCCUGGGUGGUGGGGGGAGGGGGGGCUGAGGGCCACGAGCACUGUCCUGCCCACGCCUCACCAGGGAGGACAUCACACGCGGGACGCAGUUCAUCCACCCGGAGGUGGGCGCUACAUGUGGCAGCUGCAGGUGGCCGGGGCCUCGUCACCCAGAGGCUGUGUGGCUGGGAACCAUCAUGGGAUCAUGCCUCUGUUUCCCCAUCUGUGAAACGGGGAUUCGGGUAUUCUCUCCCUUGUGGUAUGUGAGGAUGAAGGGAGGCGUGUGUGCAGCUCCUGGCACGGCUGUCCCCUCGUUUGGGUGGCCUCACCCCCCUGGCCUUGUUCCCACCCUCAGGUCCUUCCUGUGUGAGGUCUGUGGCGUGGAGAGGUGGCCACAGGUGGAAGAGAAGGCUGAGAGGGUCCAGAAACAGGUGGUCCUGGGUACCCACCCGGGGCGGGGGGCGGCAAGGAGCUGAUGGUUGUCGAGCAACAGGGGGCUGGGAGGUGGACACCAUGCCCUCAACCUUCACUGUCGCUCAGGAACCCUGCUCUCCAGACCUAACUGCACACAUGUCCAAGCUAAAUGGGUUUUAUUUUUAUGUAUGUGGAAGGUUAGUUAUGCCUCUCGACCUUGGAGAACUGGCCCUCCGUAGGGGACGUCCUGUGUGCCCCCGCAGUGCAUGCCCCCUCUCAUCACCCAGGGGCCAGCGGGUCCCAGGGUAGGUUCUGGGCUGUGUUUGUGGAUUUGCUCUGCAAGCUGCCGGAUUCUAGCUUUCUGGCUUCUGGCUUCUGCCCCCAGGUGGGUGAGGCUGGUGUAGAGGCUUAGGCCGGCUUCCUGGGGGGUGGGCCCAGUGCCUGCCCACUGGUGGGAGGAGCUGGUGGGUAGGGCAGGUCAAGGGGCGUGUCUAGAGGUGGCUCUGGGCUCAGGAAGUCUUAGGGAGCCAGUCUGCUGAUAGGUGGGGUUGUGUUCUCGACCUGUUGGUGUUUGGCCUGCGGUGUCGCAGCUCCGGAGCCUACAGGCUGUUGGGUGGGGCCAGGUCUUGGUGCUAUGACCCAAGCAAGAGAUCUGCCUCCAGCGAGAGUUUAACGCUCCGGACAUUUCCGUCACCAGUUUUUGUGACCCCAGAGAGAGCCACAGCUGCCCCCACCUCCCCAGGAGACCCUCCAAGACCAGCAGGUUUUAGAAGAAGCUUUAAAACUCCAGAACAGACGAGAUAGCGUGUAGAACCCAACUGCAGGAGGCAUGUGGAUGUCUGGCUCUUGACGGAAGAGGAGGAAUCACUGGGCGCAGGACAGACAGGCGAAUACUUAUUGAAAUGGCUUUACAGAGAAACUUCUGCCCAAGGAAGAGGAGCGGGACGGAGCUGCAGGGACCUAAGGAACGAGGCGCGGAUGGGUGCCCGCCAGUGAGGUGACCCAGGAGAGCCUGUCCGCAUCUGUAAAUCGCAGUAACGAGCCACCGCUGGAGUGUACAAGUUGGCAGCAUUGAACACAUUCACAAGGCUGUGCAAGUACCACCUUCAUCCAGUUCCAGAACUUUUUUGUCACCCCAGAUGGAAGCCCUGUCCCCAUGAGCACUCACUCCCCACCCCCUUCCCCCAGCCCCCAGCAGCCCCCAGUCUCCGUCUGUCUCUGUGGAGUUCCCUGUUCUGGAUGUUUCCGGUAAAUGGAAUCAUAGGUAUUUGUCCUUUGGCAUCUGGCUCCUUUUGCUGCACAAGCUGUUUUCGGGGUGCAUCCAGGUUGUAGCCUGUGUCAGUGCUUCACUCCUUUUCACGGCUGAGUAAUACUCCACCACGUGGCUCUAUCUCCUUGUGUUUAUCAUCUUCAGUUGGUGGACCUUUGGGCUGUUUCCACCUUUCAGCUUUUGUUAACAGUGCUGCUGUGAACGUGGGCAUCAGGUUUUUAUUUGAACACUGCUUUCCAUCCUUUGGAGUGUGUUAUUGUUUUCAUUACCCAGACACCACUUGAAAAUAAUAGAAACCUGAAGGACUUCCCGCCACCAGCACACCCCCAUCGAACCAGGGGAAACGACAGCAGUUUGAAACCCAGUGCGGGCCGGGCUGCGGAGAAACCCACCUUUGUCUGUCCUGUGGGCCCGGCCAGCUGGGUCAGCUUUUCUGGGAGCAGUUUGGCAGGUGAUGUCGAGAGCCAUUCCUGCACCUGACACGGCAAUUCCAGCCCUUGAAAUCCAGUCCUAGGAAAGAAUUGCAAAUAAAGGGGAAUCUUUAAAAAAAAGAAAAAAGUCACUUGUACCAAGCUGCACAGCACUGAAAUUUAUAAUCAGAACAAAGUGGAAAGAAGCAGUGUAUCCAACAAUUGGGCUGGUGGAGCCACAAGGAAGAUUCAGUUCCAAGGACACGAGUGUCUGGGAUCUGGACACAGAUGAGCAAUGCCUGAGAUGUGUUCAUGAAACAGAGGGCCCUGAGACGUGGGGUGACUUAAUCAUAGCAUGGUGCUACAAGGUUGUGCUUCCCACAGAGCGUGAACUCCCCAUCCGUGGAGGAGUUCAAGCAGCCAUGUGUCAGGUUGUGAGGGAGAAGCCUGGAACCGGAAUGGGUAGGCUGUCCGUGAGGCCUGGGAGAGUUCACACCGCCCACUGCAAGGAUGCCAGCACACAGCAGGCAAGGGAGUGGGACCUGGAGUCAGCCCACAGGAGCUGGACAGAGGCCAGGCAGCUGGGAAAAGCCCUGGCCUUCCCGAGGAGGAGGCGGCACAAAGGGAGGACUUGCCCUGGUCUCCAUGGGCUCCCACGAGAGAUGAGUUCCUGGGGUCCUCCAUCCACUGUCUAGUGGGCCUGGACUCCAUCCGCCCACCCCGCAGAAUGACAGAGGAAUGACAGCUGGGGGACGCCAAGCAGCUCACAGAGUCACCAUCCCCACCAGGUGUCUCCAUCCAACGCCCCCGACAUGCGACACUCAGGCGGCUUGCACCCUGUCCUGUGCACGUGCGCCUUGCCCCUGGGGAGAAGGGGACCAGCCUCGGAUGCAGCACCUCGCUCCGUUGAGGGAGGCCUUCGGGCAGACGCUGCAGGAAGGACCUGCGCCGGGCCCACCGGCUCCGUGUCUCUCCUGGGGGCUCUGGAUUGCCGGUGUCCCCAGUCCUUGGGCUCUGUCCCUGUCUGUCCACUCCACCUCGUCCUCUGCAGGAGUGUGUGGCCCACCGAGACCCGGGACUCCCACCCUCGGGCUCUGAGGAACGUCCCUCGAGCAUGCCGGCUGGUGGAAUUUUGGGGGAGCCAUGGGGUCCAGAGCCGCACACCCCACUCUCACUUAUGCCGGCCUGUUCCUGCUGACCCCCACUCCUGUGGCCUCCGGUGGCCCCGCCCCAGCAUCUGCUGGACAGUCACCCUGAGUGCCGCUGGGUCCCGUUUACAGAUGAGGAGACCAAGGCCCAGAGAGGAGCAGUCGCUCUGGCAAGGCCGCACAGCUGGCAUCCAUCUGGACUGGACAACUCUAGAACCUUCUCCCAGGGCAGCUGCUGGGGCAUCUCUGGACAGCCGGCCCCUGCCCUUCUUUUAAUUCCUCAGCCUUCUGGGAAUGGGGGUCUGCAGCUGCUCAGGAGCAGAGGGUCCAGGGACAGCCCCUGGGCAGCAGACUUGCCGCUGUCCAGGCUCAGCUGCCAUGGGUCACUUCACUUCCAUCUCCAGAGGCAAUGUUAGGAGAAAGGUCACAGCAGGAAUUUCAAGGAAGAUUUUAAAUCAUGUCUCUUUCCAGAAAGGUUUCCUCCUGGGGCCGCCAGGCUUCUCGCACUCUCUGACUUCAGGGGCCAAAGGCUGUGUUCCACCCCAGAUGUCUGUUCCUCCAGGGCAUGCCCCCCCUGGCACUGCUUCUCAGUGGGGGAACCUGCAGGCUCUGAGGUUAGGGGUGGGCCCAGUGCACCCACCUGGACAGCAGGGGUUUUCUUCUCCUGGCUGGAGCCAGACCCCGAGUGCCCGGCAUCCUCUGUUCAGCAACAGCCUGUGGACAGGGGGCCCCCAGCAGCCCCCUGAAGCUAGGUGAAGCCCUGGGCCCCACUCUGGUCAAUGACAGGGGAGCAGAAGGAACCCGAGUCACUCACGGGCAGAGCAUUAAAGAGCUGGCGCCGCUUCUCCACCUGCCCUGCCCCUGCUAGGUGGCUGGUGGUGUGUCCCUGAGUGAGGAUGGCAUGGGGCAGGCCCUGGAUGGCCCACCAGGGACCUGAAAUACCUUUGCUGUGGGAAGCCACCAAGAUGACCAGACCUCUGUCACUACUGCAAAACCUGGCCCAGCCAGGACUUGGGUCAUCCCAGGCUUCAGCACACCCACCCUCCCCACAUCCACACCCAUCCUGGAAUGCUCUCCAACACCCUUCCUUCUAAUUCACCCCUCCCCCAGGAAGUCUGCCCUGAUUGCCUCCUGCGGUCUCAGAACUGGCUCGGGCCUCCUCCUUCCUCUGCCUUCAGUAGUCCAGAGACAGGGACACAUCCCAGCAUUCACAAACCUUUGUUGGAGUAAAAGGAACUCAGACCCAGCUAAGGAAAUGCAAGAAACCAGCUAGAGGUGUAUGCAAGGGAAAGGUGAGAGGCAAAGGGAGGACAAGGGGGCCACGUGGGCAGCUCACAACACAGAGCACACUCUUGGGUUCGAGCCAUCACCUGCCCGCUUGCUGAACACCACUCCCAUUAAAAAGACGAAUCCAAUAAUAAUGAGCAAACCAGACAAGAACUGCCCUACCCACCAGGAUUUCUGAGGCCCCUGGUGGACAUCAGCCAAUAGGUUUCAAGGCUGACAAACAAAAUGUCAUUCAGGGUCACAUUAAAAGAGGUAUAUAUUCCCAAAUGAGGGAGGUUAUCAUCCUACUACUCCACUCUACACUGGCCACAACUUGUGUGGGAGGUUGGAAGAGACUAUUCAGGGGUGGCAGUGUUGGCUAAGUGGGGCAUGCCCAGGGCAGAGCAGCCAGCGAGGGCAGGGACUGACACCACACCCCCCAGGGAAAGGGUCUUUGGAAGCACAACUUUGAGAAGAGGGUUCAAGGGAUGGCUGAGCAUCAGCAACACCCUCCCCCACGUAAUUCAGCCCCUCAAGCUCUUGAAGUGCGUGGACCCACCUUCUAACAGCGCCUUGGGGGUGCUCCUUGGGGUCUGACCCCCAUGUGUGUCCUGCUCACCCUGGUGUCCUUCAUGCCCAUCACCCUGGGGAGACUGCUGACCCAGCUGUAGACUCUCUUCAGUCCUGUUGAGGGGGGCCCUGUGGGUGCUCCGAGGGGGGACUCCUAAGCCAGACCCGGCUGACUUAGGCAUCCUGGGCCUGCCUCCCACCUCGCAGUCCAAGAGUUUUUGCAAGAACAGCCAAAUCCCUGAUUUAUCAGCUCAGCUUUAUCUCCAAAACCUCCUACAAUUUCCCAGAGAACAAAAUUAAAUACAGGAUUUAGGAGAGAUUUUGCAGAGCCAGGAACAGGCUGACGCCUCGAGGCCGCUUGCGCUUGGGCUGAGUGUGGGAGGGUGGGCAGAGGGUGCCCAGCCCAGCCCCCACCCAGCCCUGGAGCUCAGUGGCCACAAGGCACAUGCAGGGGUCACAGGCCCCCUGCACUCGCGUUCCUCUUCACCACCCCUGCCCCAUCAUUACUGGUGAGCUUUUCAGAACUCGUAGAAGCUCCAUCACCUGGGCCCCAACGCCCAGCUGGAGUGGACACACGUGUGGUCCUGCCAUGGGCAGGGCAGGAUUUAACCUACCUCCCAACCAGCCCUUUUAAGGGCGAGGAAACUGAGGCUUAGUGAGGUCAGGGCAUCUCCUGACUCUCAGACCCCAGGCAGUAUUGGGGUGCUGGGACGUGGCCUCAGAUGCAGCACUCAAGCUGCACAGUCUUGGAGAGGCUCCCGCAGGGCUCUCCUGCCUGCCCACCCACGGGGCUCCCCCACCUCGCCACAUCCCCAGUAAAAUCCCUGGACACGGCUCGGGGAGCACC